CGUGGGUAUAUAAAGGAAGGAACCUACAUUUUUGGGAAGGGGGAACCCUUAGUUCUUGACUUUCUUUCAUUCUCCUUUGGUUGUUCUUACCUAAUGACGUGGUUGAGAAAUUCGAAGAGCUUUGCCGGAGCUUCUUGAUCAGGUAGGUUCGGUGAAAAAAGCCGGCCCUCUGAGUAGCAUAAGAUUGGAGGGAUUGAAAGGCCUAUAAUUGGUAGUUUGGCAUACUACCGCUGAUAUAUAGCUCCCUCUCUCUGUCUCUUCUGUUUUGCACUCCUAAUUUUGGUGGUAUUAUUGGGCCGCGAUGGGUCCUCUUACUCUGGCCGUCAAUUCGGAAAGCUUUACUUGUCCGUUGACUCCAAAGACUAAAAUGCCUGGCUUUCUGAGUUUCAUGUGUUCUAAGUUUCUGAGUUUCAUGCAUUGUGGAAGAAUUGGAUUUUUAUUUGGUGAUAUGGUUUUGCAGAUGCAUGUAGCAAGAAAUUUCAGAAUGUUACUAUGGCAAAGCGGAAAUCUUUUGCAUCUGUCAGCAUGCAGGAUGAUAAGCCAUUUGAUUUCUUACGUACUGUAUUUGGCAAAGAGAGAGCUCAACGAUCCUGAGAAUGCUAUAAUGAGCUUUUGCAGACUCUUCUAGGUGCAUUAACUGGAGUUAUAACCACUCCCCUUGAUGUGAUUAAAACUAGACUAAUGGUACAGUACAAAGGAAUUGUUGACUGUGUUCAGACUAUUGUGAGGGAAGAAGGACCUCCCGCUCUUUUGAAGGGUAUUGGACCAAGAGUGCUGUGGAUAGGGUUUGGCGGUUCAAUUUUUUUGGUGUUUUCGAGAGAACAAAGCUCUUACUUGCUCAGGGACGACCAACAGUUGGUGAAGACACGAAGCAGGACUAACUUGUAGAUAAACCAAGGGGAUCCUUUAUGUUCUCCAUUUUUAGAGUGUGAAAUGCCUUUGGCAUUAAAAUUACUUCCUGGGUGGUAGUUUGAAAAUCUUGCCAUCAGCUUUGAUAGGCUUUUAUAAUGUCUUGUUAUUUCCUAUUUUUUAUUUUUUCCGUACAAAGAACCAAAAUUGUCAUUAGCUUGUACCAGAAAGUAAAUAAUUUUAUUGCUGGUCGAACACAUUUCCAUUUACUUCAUUGUGAUAUAAA